GGAGACAGCACCCAAAGCAGCUCCAGGCUCUGAGCUGUCAGCACAGACAGCCUGACACGGGGCUCCAACUCACAAGCUGUGAGAUCAUGACCUGAGCCGAAGUGGGACGCUUAACCGACUGAGACACCCAGGCGCCCCUUUAGUCCCGUUUUAUGGAUGGAGCCAUUGAGAACCCUCAUCUUUCCUUCAUUUUUAAAGAGUUGCUUCGCCAUCAGAUAAGCACGGAAGACGCCGGGAUGUUGCCUGCUCCUUCUGAGACAUUCACGGGGGACUUCGAUACGACCUGUGGACUCUGGCCCGUCUCAUAGAACACCAACUGACUUCCCUCCCCAGUGUUGCCUUCAUUUGCGUGUUCAUUUCAAUAUUCCUGAUCGAUAAUUGUGCCUAUUCUUCAGAUUCUCUUGUGAACUGGUAAUAACAUGUGCCUGGUUCCCCCAUUGAUUUAGGAGUUUAAUAAACUUUAACACAUGUUCAGUUUUAUAU